rnacentral:misc_RNA from 1 species
CAGAGUUCAUGCCCUCACGGGUAGAUCUCCCACCCUUGAAUACAUACCUUUGUUGCUUUGGCGGGCCGCGCUCCGGCGCAUCGGCCCCGGCUGGUUGUGCCCGCCAGAGGACCCAAACUCUUUUGUUUAGUGAUGUCUGAGUACUAUAUAAUAGUUA